rnacentral:rRNA from 1 species
AACGAACGCUGGCGGCAUGCCUAACACAUGCAAGUCGAACGAGACCUUCGGGUCUAUUGGCGCACGGGUUCGUAACGCGUGGGAACCUGCCCUUAGGUUCGGAAUAACUCCCCGAAAGGGGUGCUAAUACCGGAUAAUAUCUUCUGACCAAAGAUUUAUCGCCUUUGGUUGGGCCCGCGUUGGAUUAGCUAGUUGGUAGGGUAAAAGCCUACCAAGGCGACGAUCCAUAGCUGGUCUGAGAGGAUGAUCAGCCACACUGGGACUGAGACACGGCCCAGACUCCUACGGGGGGAAGCAGUGGGGAAUAUUGGAAAAUGGGCGAAAGCCUGAUCCAGCAAUGACGCGUGAGUGAUGAAGGCAUUAGGGUUGUAAAGCUCUUUUACCCGGGAUGAUAAUGACAGUACCGGGAGAAUAAGCUCCGGCUAACUACGUG